AGCUUUGCACAGUGGCAGUAUCGUAGCCAAUGAGGUUUAUCCGAGGCGCGAUUAUUGCUAAUUAAAGAGUAAAUCAGUAUCUCUCUUUCUGUCCCUCUGCCUCUCUAAUAAAUAAAAAAUAAAAUGAAGCAAAAACAUAAA